rnacentral:rRNA from 1 species
UACGUAGGGUGCGAGCGUUGUCCGGAAUUAUUGGGCGUAAAGAGCUCAUAGGCGGCUUGUCACGUCGGAUGUGAAAGCCCGGGGCUUAACCCCGGGUCUGCAUUCGAUACGGGCAGGCUAGAGUGUGGUAGGGGAGAUCGGAAUUCCUGGUGUAGCGGUGAAAUGCGCAGAUAUCAGGAGGAACACCGGUGGCGAAGGCGGAUCUCUGGGCCAUUACUGACGCUGAGGAGCGAAAGCGUGGGGAGCGAACAGG